rnacentral:rRNA from 1 species
UGGGGAAUUUUGGACAAUGGGCGAAAGCCUGAUCCAGCAAUGCCGCGUGUGUGAAGAAGGCCUUCGGGUUGUAAAGCACUUUUGUCCGGAAAGAAAUGGCUCUGGUUAAUACCUGGGGUCGAUGACGGUACCGGAAGAAUAAGGACCGGCUAACUACGUGCCAGCAGCCGCGGUAAUACGUAGGGUCCAAGCGUUAAUCGGAAUUACUGGGCGUAAAGCGUGCGCAGGCGGUUGUGCAAGACCGAUGUGAAAUCCCCGAGCUUAACUUGGGAAUUGCAUUGGUGACUGCACGGCUAGAGUGUGUCAGAGGGGGGUAGAAUUCCACGUGUAGCAGUGAAAUGCGUAGAGAUGUGGAGGAAUACCGAUGGCGAAGGCAGCCCCCUGGGAUAACACUAACGCUCAUGCACGAAAGCGUGGGGAGCAAACAGGAUUAGAUACCCUGGUAGUCCACGCCCUAAACGAUGUCAACUAGUUGUUGGGGAUUCAUUUUCCUUAGUAACGUAGCUAACGCGUGAAGUUGACCGCCUGGGGAGUACGGUCGCAAGAUUAAAACUCAAAUGAAUUGACGGGGUCAUAGCUGUUUCC